UACGUAGGGUGCAAGCGUUAAUCGGAAUUACUGGGCGUAGAGCGAGCGCAGGCGGUUAUUUAAGUCAGGUGUGAAAGCCCCGAGCUCAACUUGGGACGUGCAUUUGAAACUGGAUAACUAGAGUGUGUCAGAGGGGGGUAGAAUUCCACGUGUAGCAGUGAAAUGCGAAGAGAUGUGGAGGAAUACCGAUGGCGAAGGCAGCCCCCUGGGAUAACACUGACGCGCAUGCUCGAAAGCGUGGGUAGCAAACAGG
rnacentral:rRNA from 1 species